UGGGGAAUAUUGGACAAUGGGCGAAAGCCUGAUCCAGCCAUGCCGCGUGUGUGAAGAAGGUCUUCGGAUUGUAAAGCACUUUAAGUUGGGAGGAAGGGCAUUAACCUAAUACGUUAGUGUUUUGACGUUACCGACAGAAUAAGCACCGGCUAACUCUGUGCCAGCAGCCGCGGUAAUACAGAGGGUGCAAGCGUUAAUCGGAAUUACUGGGCGUAAAGCGCGCGUAGGUGGUUUGUUAAGUUGGAUGUGAAAUCCCCGGGCUCAACCUGGGAACUGCCUUCAAAACUGACUGACUAGAGUAUGGUAGAGGGUGGUGGAAUUUCCUGUGUAGCGGUGAAAUGCGUAGAUAUAGGAAGGAACACCAGUGGCGAAGGCGACCACCUGGACUAAUACUGACACUGAGGUGCGAAAGCGUGGGGAGCAAACA
rnacentral:rRNA from 1 species